rnacentral:rRNA from 1 species
UACGUAGGGUGCGAGCGUUGUCCGGAAUUAUUGGGCGUAAAGAGCUCGUAGGCGGUUUGUCGCGUCUGCUGUGAAAACCCGAGGCUCAACCUCGGGCCUGCAGUGGGUACGGGCAGACUAGAGUGCGGUAGGGGAGAAUGGAACUCCUGGUGUAGCGGUGGAAUGCGCAGAUAUCAGGAGGAACACCGAUGGCGAAGGCAGGUCUCUGGGCUGUAACUGACGCUGAGGAGCGAAAGCAUGGGGAGCGAACAGG